UGGGGAAUAUUGGACAAUGGGCGCAAGCCUGAUCCAGCCAUACCGCGUGGGUGAAGAAGGCCUUCGGGUUGUAAAGCCCUUUUGUUGGGAAAGAAAUCCAGCUGGCUAAUACCCGGUUGGGAUGACGGUACCCAAAGAAUAAGCACCGGCUAACUUCGUGCCAGCAGCCGCGGUAAUACGAAGGGUGCAAGCGUUACUCGGAAUUACUGGGCGUAAAGCGUGCGUAGGUGGUCGUUUAAGUCCGUUGUGAAAGCCCUGGGCUCAACCUGGGAACUGCAGUGGAUACUGGACGACUAGAGUGUGGUAGAGGGUAGCGGAAUUCCUGGUGUAGCAGUGAAAUGCGUAGAGAUCAGGAGGAACAUCCAUGGCGAAGGCAGCUACCUGGACCAACACUGACACUGAGGCACGAAAGCGUGGGGAGCAAACAGGAUUAGAUACCCCCGUAGUCCCUGAG
rnacentral:rRNA from 1 species